rnacentral:rRNA from 1 species
ACGCCUUAUACAUGCAAGUCGAACGAAGUAGCAAUACUUAGUGGCAGACGGGUGAGUAACAUGUGGGUAUCUUCCCUUUGGUGAGGAAUAACACGAGGAAACUUGUGCUAAUACCUCAUAAGUCUUUACGGAGAAAGCUUUAUGCGCCAAUGGAUGAGCCCGCACUUGAUUAGUUAGUUGGUGAGGUAAUGGCUCACCAAGACUUUGAUCAAUAGCUGAUUUGAGAGGAUGAUCAGCCACAUUGGGACUGAGACACGGCCCAAACUUCUACGGGAGGCAGCAGUAGGGAAUCUUGCACAAUGGAGGAAACUCUGAUGCAGCGAUGCCGCGUGAGUGAAGAAGGCCUUUGGGUUGUAAAGCUCUUUCGUCGGGGAAAAAAAUGAUUGUACCCGAAUAAGAAGGUCCGGCUAACUUCGUGCCAGCAGCCGCGGUAAUACGAAGGGACCUAGCGUAGUUCGGAAUUACUGGGCUUAAAGAGUUCGUAGGUGGUUAAAAAAGUUGGUGGUGAAAUCCCAGAGCUUAACUCUGGAACUGCCAUCAAAACUUUUUAGCUAGAGUUUGAUAGAGGAAAGCAGAAUUUCUGGUGUAGAGGUGAAAUUCGUAGAUAUUAGAAAGAAUACCAAUUGCGAAGGCAGCUUUCUGGAUCAUUACUGACACUGAGGAACGAAAGCAUGGGUAGCGAAGAGGAUUAGAUACCCUCGUAGUCCAUGCUGUAAACGAUGUGUGUUAGACGUUGGAAAUUUUUUUUCAGUGUCGCAGCGAAAGCGAUAAACACACCGCCUGGGGAGUACGACC